rnacentral:rRNA from 1 species
AGGGUUUGAUCAUGGCUCAGAUUGAACGCUGGCGGUAGGCUUAACACAUGCAAGUCGUGCGAGAAAGUACCUUCGGGUGCGAGUAGAGCGGCGGUCGGGUGAGUAACGCGUAGGAAUCUACCUAGUAGAAGGGGAUAGCCCGGGGAAACUCGGAUUAAUACCGUAUACCUCCUUAGGGAGAAAGAGGGCUUAGCUUUGAUGCUCUCGCUAUUAGAUGAGCCUGCGUAAGAUUAGCUUGUUGGUGAGGUAAUGGCUCACCAAGGCGACGAUCUUUAGCUGGUCUGAGAGGACGAUCAGCCACAUUGGGACUGAGACACGGCCCAGACUCCUACGGGAGGCAGCAGUGGGGAAUAUUGGACAAUGGGCGCAAGCCUGAUCCAGCCAUACCGCGUGUGUGAAGAAGGCUUUCGGGUUGUAAAGCACUUUAAGUAAGGAGGAAAAGAUUGUAGUUAAUACCUGCAGUCCGUGACGUUACUUACAGAAUAAGGACCGGCUAAUUCCGUGCCAGCAGCCGCGGUAAUACGGAAGGUCCAAGCGUUAAUCGGAAUUACUGGGCGUAAAGCGCGCGUAGGUGGUUUUUUAAGUUGGAUGUGAAAGCCCUGGGCUCAACCUAGGAACUGCAUCCAAAACUAGAUGACUAGAGUACGAAAGAGGGAAGUAGAAUUCACAGUGUAGCGGUGGAAUGCGUAGAUAUUGUGAAGAAUACCAAUGGCGAAGGCAGCUUCCUGGUUCUGUACUGACACUGAGGUGCGAAAGCGUGGGUAGCGAACAGGAUUAGAUACCCUGGUAGUCCACGCCGUAAACGAUGACAACUAGCUGUUGGGAGACAAGAUCUCUCAGUGGCGCAGCUAACGCUUUAAGUUGUCCGCCUGGGGAGUACGGCCGC